rnacentral:rRNA from 1 species
ACUAGAUGAGCCUAUAUUAGAUUAGCUAGUUGGUGGGGUAAUAGCCUACCAAGGUAAUGAUCUAUAGCUGAUCUGAGAGGAUGAUCAGCCACACUGGAACUGAGAUACGGUCCAGACUCCUACGGGAGGCAGCAGUGGGGAAUAUUGGACAAUGGGCGAAAGCCUGAUCCAGCCACGCCGCAUGAGUGAAGAAGGCCUUUGGGUUGUAAAGCUCUUUUAGUGAGGAAGAUAAUGACGGUACUCACAGAAGAAGUCCUGGCUAACUCCGUGCCAGCAGCCGCGGUAAUACGGAGAGGGCUAGCAUUAUUCGGAAUUAUUGGGCGUAAAGGGCGCGUAGGCUGGUUAAUAAGUUAAAAGUGAAAUCCCGAGGCUUAACCUUGGAAUUGCUUUUAAAACUAUUAAUCUAGAGAUUGAAAGAGGAUAGAGGAAUUCCUGAUGUAGAGGUAAAAUUCGUAAAUAUUAGGAGGAACACCAGUGGCGAAGGCGUCUAUCUGGUUCAAAUCUGACGCUGAAGCGCGAAGGCGUGGGGAGCAAACAGGAUUAGAUACCCUGGUAGUCCACGCUGUAAACGAUGAAUGUUAAAUAUGGGGAG